rnacentral:rRNA from 1 species
AGACCCGAAACCCGGUGAUCUAGCCAUGGGCAGGUUGAAGGUUGGGUAACACUAACUGGAGGACCGAACCGACUAAUGUUGAAAAAUUAGCGGAUGACCUGUGGCUGGGGGUGAAAGGCCAAUCAAACCGGGAGAUAGCUGGUUCUCCCCGAAAGCUAUUUAGGUAGCGCCUCGUGAAUUCAUCUCCGGGGGUAGAGCACUGUUUCGGCUAGGGGGCCAUCCCGGCUUACCAACCCGAUGCAAACUGCGAAUACCGGAGAAUGUUAUCACGGGAGACACACGGCGGGUGCUAACGUCCGUCGUGAAGAGGGAAACAACCCAGACCGCCAGCUAAGGUCCCAAAGUCAUGGUUAAGUGGGAAACGAUGUGGGAAGGCCCAGACAGCCAGGAUGUUGGCUUAGAAGCAGCCAUCAUUUAAAGAAAGCGUAAUAGCUCACUGGUCGAGUCGGCCUGCGCGGAAGAUGUAACGGGGCUAAACCAUGCACCGAAGCUGCGGCAGCGACGCUGAUGCGUUGUUGGGUAGGGGAGCGUUCUGUAAGCCUGUGAAGGUGGCCUGUGAGGGUUGCUGGAGGUAUCAGAAGUGCGAAUGCUGACAUAAGUAACGAUAAAGCGGGUGAAAAGCCCGCUCGCCGGAAGACCAAGGGUUCCUGUCCAACGUUAAUCGGGGCAGGGUGAGUCGACCCCUAAGGCGAGGCCGAAAGGCGUAGUCGAUGGGAAACGGGUUAAUAUUCCCGUACUUGGUGUUACUGCGAAGGGGGGACGGAGAAGGCUAUGUUGGCCGGGCGACGGUUGUCCCGGUUUAAGCGUGUAGGUGUGUGUUCCAGGUAAAUCCGGUUCACUUUAACACUGAGGCGUGACGACGAGGCACUACGGUGCUGAAGCAACAAAUGCCCUGCUUCCAGGAAAAGCCUCUAAGCAUCAGGUAACAUCAAAUCGUACCCCAAACCGACACAGGUGGUCAGGUAGAGAAUACCAAGGCGCUUGAGAGAACUCGGGUGAAGGAACUAGGCAAAAUGGUGCCGUAACUUCGGGAGAAGGCACGCUGACACGUAGGUGAAGUGAUUUACUCAUGGAGCUGAAGUCAGUCGAAGAUACCAGCUGGCUGCAACUGUUUAUUAAAAACACAGCACUGUGCAAACACGAAAGUGGACGUAUACGGUGUGACGCCUGCCCGGUGCCGGAAGGUUAAUUGAUGGGGUCAGCGCAAGCGAAGCUCCUGAUCGAAGCCCCGGUAAACGGCGGCCGUAACUAUAACGGUCCUAAGGUAGCGAAAUUCCUUGUCGGGUAAGUUCCGACCUGCACGAAUGGCGUAAUGAUGGCCAGGCUGUCUCCACCCGAGACUCAGUGAAAUUGAACUCGCUGUGAAGAUGCAGUGUACCCGCGGCAAGACGGAAAGACCCCGUGAACCUUUACUAUAGCUUGACACUGAACAUUGAGCCUUGAUGUGUAGGAUAGGUGGGAGGCUUUGAAGCGUGGACGCCAGUCUGCGUGGAGCCGACCUUGAAAUACCACCCUUUAAUGUUUGAUGUUCUAACGUGGACCCGUAAUCCGGGUUGCGGACAGUGUCUGGUGGGUAGUUUGACUGGGGCGGUCUCCUCCUAAAGAGUAACGGAGGAGCACGAAGGUUGGCUAAUCCUGGUCGGACAUCAGGAGGUUAGUGCAAUGGCAUAAGCCAGCUUGACUGCGAGCGUGACGGCGCGAGCAGGUGCGAAAGCAGGUCAUAGUGAUCCGGUGGUUCUGAAUGGAAGGGCCAUCGCUCAACGGAUAAAAGGUACUCCGGGGAUAACAGGCUGAUACCGCCCAAGAGUUCAUAUCGACGGCGGUGUUUGGCACCUCGAUGUCGGCUCAUCACAUCCUGGGGCUGAAGUAGGUCCCAAGGGUAUGGCUGUUCGCCAUUUAAAGUGGUACGCGAGCUGGGUUUAGAACGUCGUGAGACAGUUCGGUCCCUAUCUGCCGUGGGCGCUGGAGAACUGAGGGGGGCUGCUCCUAGUACGAGAGGACCGGAGUGGACGCAUCACUGGUGUUCGGGUUGUCAUGCCAAUGGCACUGCCCGGUAGCUAAAUGCGGAAGAGAUAAGUGCUGAAAGCAUCUAAGCACGAAACUUGCCCCGA